GGUUCCUACGGGGGGCAGCAGUGAGGAAUAUUGGUCAAUGGGCGGGAGCCUGAACCAGCCAAGUCGCGUGAGGGAGGACGGCCCUACGGGUUGUAAACCUCUUUUGCCGGGGAGCAACGGGCGUCACGUGUGGCGCCACUGAGAGUACCCGGCGAAAAAGCAUCGGCUAACUCCGUGCCAGCAGCCGCGGUAAUACGGAGGAUGCGAGCGUUAUCCGGAUUUCUUGGGUUUAAAGGUUGCGUAGGCGGAUCGUUAAGUCAGUGGUCAAAUUGAGGGGCUCAACCCCUUCCCGCCAUUGA
rnacentral:rRNA from 1 species